GUUUUUCAGCAAGAUCGUGCCAGCAGCCGCGGUAAUACGGAGGAUGCAAGCGUUAUCCGGAUUUAUUGGGUUUAAAGGGUGCGUAGGCGGCUUCUUAAGUCGGCGGUGAAACUCACGGGCUCAACUCGUGACCUGCCGUUGAUACUGGGAGGCUUGAAUACGGAUGAAGCGGGAGGAAUGUAUGGUGUAGCGGUGAAAUGCUUAGAUAUCAUACAGAAGGCCUAANGNGAAGGNAUCUCGCUAAUCCGUCAUUGACGCUGAGGCACGAAAGCGUGGGGAUCAAACAGGAUUAGAUACCCAGGUAGUCCGCGCCGUANACGAUGAUAACUCGCUGCUGGGGCAAUUAAGUUUCAGUGGCUUAGCGAAAGCGUUAAGUUAUCCACCUGGGGAGUACGGUCGCAAGACUGAAACUCAAAGGAAUUGACGGGGGCCCGCACAAGCGGAGGAACAUGUGGUUUAAUUCGAUGAUACGCGAGGAACCUUACCCGGGCUCGAANGGCUAUAGAAUACAGUGGAAACAUUGUAGCCNGCAAUGGCUGUAGUCGAGGUGCUGCAUGGUUGUCGUCAGCUCGUGCCGUGAGGUGUCGGCUUAAGUGCCAUAACGAGCGCAACCCUUGUCGUUAGUUGCCAGCGGGUCAUGCCGGGGACUCUAACGAGACUGCCAGCGUAAGCUGUGAGGAAGGGGGGGAUGACGUCNAAUCAGCACGGCCCUUACGUCCGGGGCGACACACGUGUUACAAUGGGGGGUACAGCCNGUUGCUACCUANNNAUNGGAUGCUAAUCUGUAAAGCCCCUCCCAGUUCGGAUUG
rnacentral:rRNA from 1 species